rnacentral:lncRNA from 1 species
AGUUGAUGAUCACUGAGCCCGUCAGACGCACCCCACCACUUUGUUUUGCAUAUUAGUGAUCAUCUGUGUGCAACCUUAGCGAAGUUCAGUAUCCACUGCUCGAUAGGUGAUGGCAUCUCAUAGCAAAUUUCCUUUUCUGUGUCGCUUCGUUGCUAGAAGUCCUUAAGAGGUCAAGAGAUUUUAAGUACUUGUCCUUUGUUGUAAAAUGUAAAACAAAAAUAUAUAUGAUGAUGAAAUGUAUUGUAUUGAGUGAAUAUAAGCCAUUAAUGAAUUUGCAAUGGUUAUGAGAUUUCCUGGACAUGUGUGGUUUGUUGAGUUGAUGAUUUAUGAAGGCUUGUUUAGGCCUUGUGGGCUUCGCCUGUUGGACUCGUGUGUCAGUAGCAACCCCUAGGUUUGGGUCGUUACAAUAUCGAUAUCUUAUAUAUCUACCAUCUUCUUCUUCCCAUUUCUAUAAGCAAAUUUGGGUUCAUGAAC